GACAGAGGGUGCAAGCGUUGUCCGGAAUUAUUGGGCGUAAAGAGCUCGUAGGCGGUUUGUCGCGUCUGCUGUGAAAACCCGAGGCUCAACCUCGAGACGUCGGCGGAAACCAUCUGGCUAGAGUCCGGAAGAGGAGAGUGGAAUUCCUGGUGUAGCGGUGAAAUGCGCAGAUAUCAGGAAGAACACCCGUGGCGAAGGCGGCUCCUCGUGGGACGGUACUGACGCUGAGACGCGAAAGCGUGGGAGCGAACAGG
rnacentral:rRNA from 1 species